CCCCUCUCAGGGUCGCACCUGGAGAGUUUCCAGUACUCUACCAGUCUUGGCUACUGGAAGGAGAGUCAAGCAAAGGCAUACCCAUUCCAUUACUAGGUUGGCCAGUGGCUAGUGAGUGGAAGGCAAUCUGCUACAAGU
rnacentral:snoRNA from 1 species